rnacentral:rRNA from 1 species
GAUGAACGCUGGCGGCGUGCCUAAUACAUGCAAGUCGAGCGAACGGACGAGAAGCUUGCUUCUCUGAUGUUAGCGGCGGACGGGUGAGUAACACGUGGAUAACCUACCUAUAAGACUGGGAUAACUUCGGGAAACCGGAGCUAAUACCGGAUAAUAUUUUGAACCGCAUGGUUCAAAAGUGAAAGACGGUCUUGCUGUCACUUAUAGAUGGUUCCGCGCUGCAUUAGCUAGUUGUUAAGGUAACGGCUUACCAAGGCAACGAUGCAUAGCCGACCUGAGAGGGUGAUCGGCCACACUGGAACUGAGACACGGUCAAGACUCCUACGGGAGGCAGCAGUAGGGAAUCUUCCGCAAUGGGCGAAAGCAUGACGGAGCAACGCCGCGUGAGUGAUGAAGGUCUUCGGAUCGUAAAACUCUGUUAUUAGGGAAGAACAUAUGUGUAAGUAACUGUGCACAUCUUGACGGUACCUAAUCAGAAAGCCACGGCUAACUACGUG